rnacentral:rRNA from 1 species
GGAAGGAUCAUUAACGAAUUGUAAUGGGGGCUUGAUGCUGGCAAGUUAUCUUGAAAUGUGCUCGCUUCCAACAAUUUUAUCUUAAACACCUGUGCACCCUUUGAAAGGGGGGGAUUCCAAGUGGAUUUUUCUUGGAAUUCUCUCUUCUUCACAUACACACCGAUUACAAUGUUGAACGUGCUCGUGCCGAUAAGGCCUUAAUAAAAAUACAACUUUUAACAACGGAUCUCUUGGCUCUUGCAUCGAUGAAGAACGCAGCGAAAUGCGAUAAGUAAUGUGAAUUGCAGAAUUCAGUGAAUCAUCGAAUCUUUGAACGCACCUUGCGCUCCCUGGUAUUCCGGGGAGCACGCCUGUUCGAGUGUCGUGAAAUUCUCAAGCUGGACCACUUUUGUUUAGAAAGAGUGGGCCUUAGUUUGGUUAUUGGGCUUUGCCAUUCCUGCCAUUGGAAUUGGCUGGCCUUAAAAGCAUUAGCUGAUCCUCAUGUGGCAAUUGGUUCUACUCAGCGUGAUAAUAAUAAUCUGACCGCCGAGGACAUCUCUCGAGGUGGCCAAUUCUCGUUUGGGUUGCUUUCUAAUCUGGUUUUACGGAUUUUCACAAAUCUGUUCCACUUUUCAAUUUUGACCUCGAAUCAGG